UCGAGGAUCUUCGGCAAUGGGCGCAAGCCUGACCGAGCGACGCCGCGUGUGCGAUGAAGGCCUUCGGGUUGUAAAGCACUGUCGAGGGGGAGAAAAGCCGCAAGGCUUGAUCUAUCCCUGGAGGAAGCACGGGCUAAGUUCGUGCCAGCAGCCGCGGUAAGACGAACCGUGCAAACGUUGUUCGGAUUCACUGGGCUUAAAGGGCGCGUAGGCGGGCGGUCAAGUCAGGGGUGAAAUCCUCCAGCUCAACUGGAGAAGUGCCUCUGAUACUGACUGUCUUGAGGGAGGUAGGGGCAUGUGGAACUGCCGGUGGAGCGGUGAAAUGCGUAGAUAUCCGAAGGAACGCCGGUGGCGAAAGCGACGUGCUGGACCUCUUCUGACGCUGAGGCGCGAAAGCCAGGGGAGCAAACGGGAUUAGAUACCCCGGUAGUCC
rnacentral:rRNA from 1 species